CUCACCUUCAACCACAAGAUCGCAGUUCAAGAGAGGAAUGCUCUGGCUAACUGGAUGAAGGCUCAGUAUUGGGAAACAAGGAUGAUGCAGCAGAGCAGGGAGAACGCCUAC